GACUGUUUGAAACAAAGAUGUUUUUUAUAAAUAAAACCAACUGCUCCAUUUACAAGUGAAAUUGUGAACAUUUGUAAAGGCUUAAACUUGAUUUUGCUGGUAUUAAUUGUAUAUUGACGGUCUUAGCUGACACAUAAUGAUGUUAUUCAUUCAAAAUCUUUUUGUGUAGAAAAGUCUGUCUUUGUAAAUGGGAAAUAUAGACUUUGUUGACACUUUGCAAUUCAGUGCAUAGACAAAAUUGAAAUUAUUGUGUUAACUAACAGAUUUUGAUAUACAUAUAAAUGUCAUAUCCAUUCAGAGAUAGUUUGACUGUAUUCUAAAGAUGCAAGUGUAAUGAAUAUUGAACGUCAUUUAUUUUAUUAUGUUUGUUUUUGUUAAUAAACAUCAAUUAGUGAAAGGGUAGCAGUAGUGGUAAUAAUGAUUCUUAUAGGUCUUAUAUUAUAGGUCUUACAGCUUAAUACCAGAUGAUGCCCUUACAGGAGUGUGUGAUCUCUGCCCAAUCCUUCGUUAUUCCCGUAUAAAUAUCAUUGUUGACACCUUUUUCCAAGUCUUUGUUUUGUUUUUCCAAAUAUUGUUAAAUCCUGUUAAACUUUUCCCAAUUGUUGUAACCAUUUUCAUAAACUUUGUUUAAACCUUACUACCAGCUUUUGAGAAUUUAAUAAACCUUUUUCAAGUAUUUUAUGGAGAGAAUUUUCUAAACUCUGUUUAAACCUUUCUCUAAUUUGUUCAGCCUUGUUUAAACCUCCCUGUACAUGUUAAAUUUUUUCCAUACAUUGUUAAACUUAUUCUCAGUUGUUAUAAUUGUUGUUAUCUUUAUCCUGCUACUGUCUGUAUUAUUAGCUGGAUAAAGCUUUGCAGGAUAAACUUAUCUAACUCCAGUCAUUAUGUCAUCAUAGCCUAUGAUGAUGUCAUAUGGUUAGUGGCCAACCAAAAUUACAUACAGACGCUGUUUUAUUGGGGUAAUGUAAGAAUUAUACCAUUAAAAUAACCUAAAAACAUGAUUAAACUAGACUAAAGCAGGAUAAAUCAAGAACAUGGUUAUUGUUGGGAUGGAGGAGGUUUAUCUGGUUCACUGCAGAAGUGAAUCUUGGCUCGCUAAAGCUCGCGGAGAUACACUUUCUCACGGAGAUACACGUUCUCGCUUACCGGAUGAACCUUCUCCAAUCCGAUAUCAACCAUGUGUUCUCUAUUUUUUCCCAGUCAUUGUUCAAACCUUGCCAAAUCACUGUUUAAAAAAUUUCACCAUUAAUGUAGUUUAAACCAAGUCGUAAAACUAGCUUAAACCCUUUUUUCCCCCAAAUAAUUGUUAAAACUAUUUCCCACUCCUCGUUACAAACCACUUCCUUAUUAUUGAUUCUUGCUUUAAAAUACUGAAUUAUCUAGUAUUAAAUGUUAUUUUUUAAGGUACAUGAAAUUGUAUUCUUACAAUUGUUUAAAUGUUAUUUAAUAUUUGCCUGUUACCUGACUAUAUGUGAAGGGCACAAUUGUACAUUUAAUUAAGAGCAAGUAUUUCAUGUUUGCAGCAUAUAUGUUUGUAUAUCAAAUUUUGAAGUGUUAUGCAUGGUGUAUAGAUACUGAAAAAUACAUUAUAGAUGCAUGUAGUAAAUAUUGCUUGUAAAUAAAUUACAAGGUAACCCUUAAACCUCCAUCUUUAAUUUCUUGAUGAAUUGAUAGUUUAUUUUCUAUUUUCCAGUGUUUCCUGUCAUUUUAUAAGUGAUAGAAAUAAAUCAUUACUAGUUUGUCUAACUUUAAAAACUCACAUGUUUAUUUGAUGUUAAGUUUAUCUUGUUGAACCUACAUAACUUAAGUAUUUAUUUGAAAGGUAAAUGGUUGAAAAAUCUUAAAAGAUUUUUUUUUUUUGAAUACUUGCCAUUAAGUUUGCUUUAGAUAGUAUUGCUAAUCUCUUUCUGAGGUUUAUGAAAUAUUGAGACCACCAUAAAAUGUUUUUGUACUAGAAUACAAAAGAAAUGCCCAUUUUGAAUUUUGAUAUGUUUUUUUUUGUACUAUGGUAAUGUAUAUAUUGUUAUAUAUAUAUUACCUCUAUGAAAUUAAAUAAUAAUUUGUCUGAUGUUAUUAUAUAGUGGGCCUGAUUCUAUUAUGUUAGGAAAUCAUUCAUUGAUAGGCUAUUGUUGUUAUACUGAAGUGUACAUUCAUUCAGAAAAUACAUAUGAGCCGCCUCACGACAAAACCAACAUUGUGCAUUUGUGACCAGCAUGGAUCCAGAACAGCCGGCGCCUCUGCGCAGUCUGAUCAGGAUCCAUGCUGUUUGCUUACCAACCCUAUUACAAGUUAAGAAACUGAUAGCGAACAGCAUGGAUCGUGAUCAGACUGCGCUGAUGCGCAGGCUUGUCUGGAUCCAUACUGGUCGCAAACCCAUUAUGUUGGUUUUGUCAUGAUGCGGCUCAUAUGCUAGUGGCACAUGCAGGUUCCCCAUACGUAUGUUACUUAAGAUGCUGUAUAGCCUACCUAAGGAAAAUGUUAACCUGUAGAACAAUGUUUGCCACCUUGUGGCUUAGGGGUUGCCUUUAAGGGUUGAGGCAUCAGAUUUUUAGCCACAUUUAUGCCUGCAUGAUCGUAAGCGGUGAAUAAAUGGUUCCCUGUUUGGGAGUUGAUGAAUCUUUAAGCUCUAGCAGGUAAGGUGGUUUUGACCUCUGGUAUUGCUUUAAAGUUGUAACACCCGAGGUUAGCUAAAAUCAUCUUUUCCUCUUUCAGCGCCAUAUGACCUAACUUGUGUUAGUGAGCCGUAAAACCAAACAAAUACUGAAUUAUUUUAAUGGACUUGUCUAGCUCCCAUUUUUGGAAAUAAUCAAUUUUGGGAAUUUCAAGAUGAAAAUUUAGUUUUGUCAGCCAACAGUAUAAAGCCUGGUCAGACUGCAUAGUUGUACUCUAUACUGUUGGCAAUGGUGUUCGUUUUUCUGUUCCAUUACUGAAAAUGUUAAUUGAUACAUUCAAAAAUUAUGUAAUUAUUUGAUAGAUCAGAUUAAGCCGAUUUAAUAUGAGCAAGUUUUUAAUGAUACAGAAAUUAUACAUUUUGUCUGUUGUUUUUUUUUAUCCACCACCGCUGUUCUAAUUAUAUGUAUUUAUUAGUUAUAAUUUUUAUAAAUAUUUGUUUUAACAGAUUGUAUGCAUUUGAUCAGUUUUGAAAGAUAUUUUUCUAUAAAUUAGAACUAUUUUUGUUUUGAAGUUGUGUAUGGAAAGGAGUGUUUAAAUGUCUGUGUGUUUUUUGGAUGGAAAUGGUUUGAACUUUGUUUUUUUAUAGUGAUCAAAUAGACGUGUGUGUAUGUGUGUG